CAUUAUUGAAUAACAAAACAAAGGUUGUGAGGUUGUCGCUGGCUUUCUAGCAUGUGCACACCUUUCAAACUUGUUCAUUCAUCCUUUACCCACCUGUGCACCCUUUGUAGAUGCUGGGAUUGUUUUAUUUCUUUUUUGGAAAUGUUGGAGAGUUUGCUGAUCUUUUUUGGCUGCUCUUGCUUACCAGCAUCUAUGUUUUUACAAAUACAUACGCAUCAAUAGAAUGUCCAUUAAAUGGCAGCAAUGCCUUUCAAAAUGAAAUACAACUUUCAACAACGGAUCUCUUGGCUCUUGCAUCGAUGAAGAACGCAGCGAAAUGCGAUAAGUAAUGUGAAUUGCAGAAUUCAGUGAAUCAUCGAAUCUUUGAACGCACCUUGCGCUCCUUGGUAUUCCGAGGAGCAUGCCUGUUUGAGUGUCAUUAAAUUCUCAAUCCUUUUUCUGCUUUUGUUAGCUUUGGGAAGGUGAUUGGAUGGUGGGGGUUUUGCGGGCCUUUGUUGGUCAGCUCCUCUCAAAUGCAUUAGCAGGAACCUCUUUUGCGUGACUGUCUCUGGUGUGAUAAAUUAUCUAUGCCAUGCAAAACGCAGCUUUAAUAAGCUGGGGUUCAAGCUCUCUAAUUGUCUUAGACAAAAUUUUGACCCAUUUGANCUCAAAUCAGGUAGGACUACCCGCUGAACUUAAGCAUAUCA
rnacentral:rRNA from 1 species